AAGGACGCGACUAACCGCGAAAGUCUUCGGGGAGCCGUAAGUAGGCUUUGAUCCGGAGGUCUCCGAAUGGGGGAACCCAGCAUGUGCAGACAUGCUAUCCUUAAGUGAAUACAUAGCUUAAGGAGGGAACACGCAGUGAACUGAAACAUCUAAGUAGCUGCAGGAAGAGAAAGAAAUAUCGAUUUCCCAAGUAGCGGCGAGCGAACAGGAAAGAGCCCAAACCGGCAGAUUUAUCUGCCGGGGUUGUAGGACUGAGACAUGGCACUUCAGAGGAUAGCAGAAGCGUUUGGGAAAGCGCGCCAGAGAGGGUGAGAGCCCCGUAAGCGAAAUCCAAAGAAGGCCUAUCAGUAUCCUGAGUAGGGCGGGACACGUGAAAUCCCGUUUGAAUCCGCGAGGACCAUCUCGCAAGGCUAAAUACUAACCAGUGACCGAUAGUGAACCAGUACCGUGAGGGAAAGGUGAAAAGAACCCCGGGAGGGGAGUGAAAGAGAACCUGAAACCGUGUGCCUAC
rnacentral:rRNA from 1 species